rnacentral:rRNA from 1 species
UCUGGCUUCGGCCCGAGUUGUAAUUUGCAGAGGAUGUUUCUGGCGCGGUGCCUUCCGAGUUCCCUGGAACGGGACGCCAUAGAGGGUGAGAGCCCCGUAUGGUUGGAUACUAAGCCUGUGUGAAACUCCUUCGACGAGUCGAGUAGUUUGGGAAUGCUGCUCAAAAUGGGAGGUAAAUCUCUUCUAAAGCUAAAUAUUGGCCAGAGACCGAUAGCGCACAAGUAGAGUGAUCGAAAGAUGAAAAGCACCUUGAAAAGGGGGUUAAACAGUACGUGAAAUUGUUGAAAGGGAAGCGCUCAUGACCAGACUUGUGCUGGGCAGCUCAUCCGGGGUUCUCUCCGGUGCACUCUGCCCAGUUCAGGCCAGCAUCGAUUUUUGCUGGGGGAUAAGAACGGUAGGAACGUGGCCCUCCUUCGGGAGGGUGUUAUAGCCUGCCGUACGAUACCCUGGCGGAGAUCGAGGUUCGCGCAUCUGCAAGGAUGCUGGCGUAAUGGUCAUCAGCGACCCGUCUUGAAACACGGACCAAGGAGUCGUCCAUUAGAGCGAGCGUUUGGGUGUAAAACCCGCACGCGUAAUGAAAGUGAAAUUAGGUGAGAGCUUCGGCGCAUCAUCGACCGAUCCUGAUGUUCUCGGAAGGAUUUGAGUAAGAGUUUUAACGGACGGACCCGAAAGACAGUGAACUAUGCUUGUAUAGGGUGAAGCCAGAGGAAACUCUGGUGGAGGCUCGCAGCGGUUCUGACGUGCAAAUCGAUCGUCAAAUAUGAGCAUGGGGGCGAAAGACUAAUCGAA